GCGAGACAGACGAGAACGCGCCGCCGCGAACGUUACGGGAGUUGGGCGGCGGUUGGGGAAGGAGGGAGAGUCAACGUCACCGCCCUCCUUCCGCAGUCACUCCGCCGGUGCAUCAGAUCUCUCGUGCACACGCGCGCAACACACGCACACGGAAGGAAAAUAACGGGCCCUGGCAGGGCCGGGGGCGGGGCAGCAGGCAGGCGCGGAGCAGGGCGCAAGCGCCGGGACGGCUGGUCUUGGUCUUGGCUCCUGCGGCUGGAACAUUCUGGAAAUGGCGGAUGCGAUGUCCCGGAGAUUGAGACGGGAGGGGAUGGGGGAAGAGACUAGAGCACCUGCUUCCCCUUGUGACAGGAACCGAGUAGGAGCCGCCACCGAUUCCUCCCGACUCUCAAGCCCAGGGCCCCCUACUUGAGCUACACCGGGUUUUCCGGCAGCGAUGGCGCAGAGAGACAGACAUGCGUGCAAAAUGCAAACAGUGCCACAAAGAAAUGCAAGGCCUGGUUGCCUGAAUGAAACAUCAUCAUUUCUCAGGAGGAAGCUUAUGAAAGAAACAUGAAGGAUCUUCAGGAGAAUCUAUCCUCAAACUUCAGGAUUCUGAAGACUAUCCACCUUCAGAUCACCAUCAUUUUCUAUAGUUUCAGAAUUAUCUGCCAACAAUAGUGUUUCAGUCACAUCAUGUAUGUCACAUAGCCACAGUAUAUCACUUGUAGCAAAAAGGAAAAAAAAUUUCCAUCAUCCAUCAUCUAUAACCAUAGAUACAUUUGUUAUAAGAACCAGCAGAUUACAAAAAGAGGUAAUUGAUGAAAAAAUCACCUAGUUUGUUUAUGCAACAAACUCUUCUUUCGGUAUGACUGAGAACCCACACUUCAUUAACAUGGUUCAGUCAUAAAGACCAGGACACAGUCCAUACAACAGAGCAGAUGUCGCAGGCAAAUUGCUGGAUAAAGUGUAUGAAAGAAAUUGAGCAGCGUGCAAAAGGUCUAGAAGGUAAAAUUGUUAACCUGCGUCUUGAUGGGUGGAGCAAUGUCCACAAUGAUCCUGUUGUGAUUGUCUGACAACAGAAGAAAGGAAUGUCUUAUUUACAGAAACAAUUGGUACAUUAGGAAAUGCGCACACAGCAGAAUACUUACAAGUAGCAGCAAGAAAAGCUAUAACAAACUGUGGGGAAAAAAUUCAAAUGUCUAGUUCGCAGCUUGGUCACAGACAAUGCUGCAAAUGUAUCCAAGAUGAGAAGAACUUAUUUAGAAGAGAGUCCCAAGCUAAUAACAUAUGGUUGCAGUGCUCAUUUGAUGCAUCUCCUAGCCAAAGACUUCAGUGUUCCAGAAAUAAAGGCUAAUGUUAUUGAAAUUGCAAAAUACUUCCGUAACAACCACUUUGCAGCAGCUGCUCUGAAAAAAGUGGGAGGAACCAAGCUACCUCUCCCACAAGACGUGCGAUGGAACUCAGUAGUGGACUGUUUUGAGCACUAUAUCAAGAACUGAUGACAGUUAAUGACAGUUUGUGAACAAAAACAUGAAAAAACAGAUGGCACUGUCACAGCCAAACAUUGGGGUUAAGAGAAAUGUUGAACACAUGCUGAGUACCCUGAAGCCUAUUUCUGUAGUCUUGAACAAAACACAGGGAAAUAGCUGUUUUAUUGCUGACGCUGUUGAAAUUUGGAAGGAACUGAGUGAGAGCUUAAAAAAAGAGAACUAUGCAAUGACAGAGUUAAAUUACAAGCAUUAAAAAAACGAACAGGACAAGCACCAUCUCCAGAUCAUUUUCUCGCAAUUAUUCUCAAUACUCAGUACCAGGGUCAAACCUGAACUGCUGAAGAAGAGGAGCUGGCUAGGACAUGGACAUCCAGCAAUCAUCCCUCCAUAAUGUCAACUAUAAUAAACUUCAGAGCUACGGGUGAACCAUUCAAGAAAUAUAUGUUUGCUGAUGAUGGUUAAAGAAAGUCACACCAGCCAUAUAAAUAAGAAGAAAACAAAGAAAAAAGUGGGGCCACUAAACACUGAGGAUGGAGUGGAGGUUAAGGAUAAUCUAGGCAUGACCCAAUAUCUAAACAAAUACUUUGCCUCAGUCUUUAAUGAGGAGCUUAGGGAUAAUGGUAGGAUGACAAAUAGGAAGGAGGAUAUGGAGGUAGAUAUUACCACAUCCGAGGUAGAAGCCAAACUUGAACAGCUUAAUGGGAUUAAAUUGGGGGGGGCCCAGAUAAUCUUCAUCCAAGAAUAUUAAAGGAACUGGCACAAGAAAUUGCAAGCCCAUUAGCAAAAAUUUUUUAAUGAAUCUAUAAACUCAGGGGUUGUGCCAUAUGUCUGGAGAAUUGCUAACAUAGUUCCUAUUUUUAAGAAAGGGAAAAAAAAAAAAAAGUGAUCCGGGCAAUUACAGGCCUGUUAGUUUGACAUCUGUACUAUGCAAGGUCUUGGAAAAAAAUCUGAAGGAGAAAGUAGUUAAGGACACUGAGGUCAAUGGUAAUUGGGACAAAAUACAAGAUGGUUUUACAAAAGGUAGAUCAUGCCAAACCAACCUGAUCUUCUUUGAGAAGGUAACAGAUUUUUUUAGACAAAGGAAAUGCAGUGGAUCUAAUUUACCUCGAUUUCAGUAAGGCAAUUGAUACUGUUUCACAUAGGGAAUUAUUAGUUAAAUUGGAAAAGAUUGGGAUCUAUAUGAAAAUAGAAAGGUGGAUAAGGAACUGGUAAAACGGGAGACUACAAUGGGUCACACUGAAAGGAGGUUACUAGUGGAGUUCCUCAGGGAUCAGUUUUGAAACCAAUCUUUUUAUUACUGACCUUGGCAUAAAAAACAGGAAUGUGAUAAUAAAGUUUGCAGAUAACACAAAGCUGGAAGGUAUUGCCAAUUCAAAGACAGACCAGGAUAUCAUACAGGAAGAUCUGGAUGACCUUGCAAACUGGAGUAACAGUAAUAGGAUGAAAUUUAAUAGUGAAAAGUGCAAGGUCAUGCCUUAAGGAUUAAUAACAAGAAUUUUUGUUAUAAACUGGGGACGCAUCACUUGGAAGUAACAGAGAAGGACCUUGGAAUAUUGGUUGAUCACAGGAGGAUGAUGAGCCGCCAAUGCGAUAUGGCCAUGAGAAAAAGCUAAUGUGGUCUUGGGAUGCAUCAGACAAGGUAUUUCCAGUAGAGAUAAGGAGGUGUUAGUACCAUUAUACAAGGCACUGGUGAGACCUCAUCUGGAAUACUGUGUGCAGUUCUAGUCUCCCAUGUUUAAGAAAGAUGAAUUCAAACUGGAACAGGUACAGAGAAAGGCUAAUAGGAUGAUCUGAGGAAUGGAAAACCUGUUUUAUGAAAGGAGACUCCAACAGCUUCUCUUGUUUAGCCUAACCAAAAGAAAGCUGAGAGGAGAGAUGAUUGCUCUCUAUAAAUAUAUCAGAGGGGUAAAUACCACAGAGGGAGAAGAAUUAUUUAAGCUCAGUACCAAUGUGGACACAAGAACAAAUCAAUAUGAACUGGCGAUCAGGAAGUUUAGACUUGAAAUUAGAUGAAGGUUUUUAACCAUCAGAGGAGUGAAGUUCUGGAACAGCCCUCCAAGGGAAGCAGUGGGGGCAAAAGACAUAUCUGGCUUCAAGACUAAGCUUGAUAAGUUUAUGGAAGAGAUAGGAUAUGAUGGGAUAGCCUAAUUUUGGCAAUUAAUUGAUCAUCAACUAUUAGCGGUAGAUAUGCCCAAUGGCCUGUGACGGGAUGUCAGAUGGGGUGGGAUCUGAGUUACUACAGAGAAUUCUUUCCUGGGUGUCCGGCUAGUGAGUCUUGCCCACAUGCUCAGGGUUUAGCUGACUUCCAUAUUUGGGGUUUGGAAGGAAUUUUCCUCCAGGGCAGAUUGGCACAGGCCAUGGGGGUUUUUUGCCUUCCUCUGCAGCGUGGGGCAUGGGUUACUUGCUGGAGGAUUCUCUGCACCUUGAAGUCUUUAAGCCACGAUUUGAGGACUUCAGUAGCUCAGACAUAGGUUAGAGGUUUGUUACAGGAGUGGGUGGGUGAGAUUCAGUGGCCUGCGUUGUGCAGGAGGUCAGACUAGAUGAUCAUAAUGGUCCCUUCUCACCUUAAAGUCUAUUAUUCUAUUACUUAAGCAUUUGUAUUCAGAGACUGUUGAAGUGAUAAUCUCACUUUUAAUCUUUAAUCUUCUACCGAUAUAGAAAGAAUAUUUUCUUCCUUUGGACUAAUUCAUUCCAAAUUGAGAAAUCGUUUGGGACCUGAAAAAGCAGGAAAGCUUGUUUUUCUUUUCCAGAUUAUGAACAAACAGGAAGGCUGGCUGACAGUCGAUUUAAUUUUUUUUUUUAAUAUAUUUCAUUUAAUUAUUUUAGUUAACAAAACAAACCUGAAUUUAAAAAACCUCAAUGUUUAACUAAAUUCCAAAAUUCAUAUGCUUGUUUUUAAAAAUAUUGUAUGUUUGCUGUUGAAUAAAAAAAUCCAGAAUGCAUAACGUUGCUGUUUUAGUUAAAUAAAACAAUUUAAAUGUCUGUCUGGUGAUGUUCUCCUCCUAAUACAGCAUGGCAAGAAAAUCCUCCAAAUAUUAACGAUUAACCUGUUGGCGAUAUUUAUGAAGUCACUGGGAGGUGAACUAUUUCCCUCAACUACCUUUGAGCCUGAUCCAAAACCUACUGAAGUCAGGGGUGUCUUUCGAUUGACAUCACUGGGCUUUGAAUCAGUCCUUGAAGGCUACCUUGGAAGAUUAAGAUCUGGAUUUAUGGUCUGUUGAAAUCCCACCCAUAAUAGCGAGCAAAUUUAGAAGUGGGGCCAUCUGGACACCAGUGUGCAGGAAACAGGAACUGGCAGCAUGUAGUGGCAUGUAACCAGGUAAGACUGAGUUUUUCCUCCCAUAUAUGAAUUCAUAUCCAGAAUAUCCCAACAGAACCAGCCAUCCCCAUGGGAGUACCACAUUACACAUACUCAGACCCACAACUGAUUUAGCCAUUUUACAGUGUCUCCUUGCAUAGUUUGUAGUCUCCUUAUUUAAACACAUGUCCACAGAAAAAUUACUUUUGCUAAAUACCAUGGAGACUACUUCCCCAUUCAAAGUGCUACAUAUAUAAAUGCUAAAAUUAACAAAACUAAUGCUCUCAAAGUGCACAUUAAUAGUAUGUGCUCCUACUUCAAUUCCAAAUUAUGUAACCCCCAACUGGAAUAUACUUAUUUGUUGUAAAUUCUAUUUUCAACUCGGCAGGACAUAGCAUAAUAUAUGCACUACUGUAACAGAGAAUUUUCGUGAAUUUGGGAAAUUCCAUCUUUGGAUUUUAAGAUUAGAUGUCAAAUACACAGAAAAAGAAGAGAAGCUAUAAAUGACAGUAGAUUUCCGCUGGUCUGUGUAAAGAUUUGGAGGGGGACGGGGGGGGGGGGGGGAAGGCCAAGGUUACACACUAGAAUACCAAAGGAAAAUUACCUGAAGAGAAAGAAUCGACUUUGUACAAGCAUAUGGAUGGGCUCUGAGUUACAGAAAGAGGAUCCUUUUAUUGUUCUUGGAAGCUUCUUCACAUAGCAAUCUUCUGUCAUUUAACAGGCACACCAGACAUAUGCCACACAUCCUGGAUCUAUUUCUAGAUCUUUGUUUUUCCUCCUAAAAUUUCAGUUCUUUCAUCUGUGUUUUAUUUUAGGAUUUUAGCCUGCUGUUUGCUUGCUUUGUUUGCCUGUUGUGCUUCUCUGACUCAGUUAUCCUUGUUAAUAUGUUCUUAAUUUCUGUUUGCAAAAAAAAGUCAGAUUGAUUUAUAAAACCUCCAUCUCUAUUUGGAUUACAGCUGUUAUUUCUUAUGUAUCUGUCUGCUUGAAGAAUCUCAAGUGUGGGGUAGGGGGGAAAUAAUAAAUGAGGAUUGUUAUCUUCUGCCACAAUCUCAGCACAGUUCUGUGCUGCAGAGCUCUGAGUGGUUACAUUAGAAGCUAUACAGCAAGUUAAAGCUAAAAAUUUCCAUUUGGUGGCUUCUUAGCGCACACGCCUAUUUAUGUUUGAGUGACUAAAAGGAAGAGUUUGUGUAGAGUUUGAGGGAGUUUUCACCAAGAUCUUGUAGAGUUCCAGUCACACAGCUGUGCAGGAUCAGUUUCUCUCAUGGUCUCUAAUCUCUUCUAUUUCAUAGAAAUCUAACAUCUAUCUUGGACGUACACGAGCUCAUUUUAUCCCUGAACAAUAAAGGCUCAUUUGUGCCUUUUCCUAGGCGGAGAAUACUGGAGAGCAAGAGUAGAUUCAAUCGCUGAAGCAUCAGUGCCUGGAGGCAAUUAUGCCUAAGUGCUGGAGGGAGUAUAUUAGGAAGUGCCCCUUGCUACACUUGUUGAACAAGUGCAGCCAGAGUUUCUUGAGUACAGCUAUGCAGGUGUGCGGGCAGGGCAGGAUCAUGCUUCACCCAGACACAUCCUUUCUGUUUGUGUAAUCAGUUCCACUGUUUCCUCUGUAUACCCAGUAUGACAUUCUGUACCUCAAAAUAGCACCCUGGAACUCCCAUAUUCACCACCGUGGUACGAUUAUGAAUUGUUUUGUACAAUGCAUGCCUUGUGAUGUACCAUUUAAGAAGUCUUGAUCUGUUGAAAAUUACUAUCUUGUUGAAUUGUAUGUACUAUCAUUGUAUGUGAAGUUAUGAAGUAUUGUUAUGUUUGUUACUGAAAUAUGUCGUAAGUGGGAAAUGCCCACAACAAGCCUUUCAGUGGCAACAAAGGAGCAACUAACACGGACAAGACAGAUUUACAUCAGGACCAGCCAGACAUGUGUUGAUGGCCCAUCAAGAAGAAUCCACUCUUCCAGAGACUCCUCAGAGAGUGCACAUAUGGGCUACCUAACUCCCAUGUCACAGCAAGGAUCUUAGAGAGUUUUGCACCCCAGACUACUUUUUAGCCCAUUUUAAAAAAAAGGAGUAUGUUUUAAGUUGGUCAUGUCCCUCUUAAGUUCUCAAAAUGGUUCUGCAGGCCAAGGAAUGCAAAUAAAGCACUUUCUUUCAUCACAUACACACUGCAUGUGUAUAUUGCCCACUGACAUGCCAGCCUAGCGAGGAGGGCUUUAGACUAGGUUCAAAAGAGGCAGGUAACAAAAGCCCCAGGUAGAUAUAAAAAAAGGUGACCUCAAUAUUGAGUCAGAUAUUAAGAGAGGGGAAUAGAAAAUUACAAUUGGCUCUUAGGAGCAACAAGAUAGAAAAUGACAGGUUUCAGAGUAACAGCCGUGUUAGUCUGUAUUCGCAAAAAGAAAAGGAGUACUUGUGGCACCUUAGAGGUUAACCAAUUUAUUUGAGCAUAAGCUUCCGUGAGCUACAGCUCACUUCAUCGGAUGCAUACUGUGGAAAGUGUAGAAGAUCUUUUUAUACACACAAAGCAUGAAAAAAUACCUCCCCCCACCCCACUCUCCUGCUGGUAAUAGCUUAUCUAAAGUGAUCACUCUCCUUACAAUGUGUAUGAUAAUCAAGGUGGUCCAUUUCCAGCACAAAUCCAGUGUUUAACAAGAACGUGUGAGGAGGGUGGGGGGUAGGAAAAAACAAAAUGGUGGGGGAAAUCUGCUCUAUAUUUCAGACAUCUACACACAAAUGCAUGGAGUACAGGGAAUAAACAGGAAGAACUGGAUGUAUUAGUCCUUUAGCUAAAUUAUGACUAAACUGCCAUCACGGAGACCUAAUGGGAUAAAUCUCAUGAUUGGUAUAAAAGGGUAUAACUUUACUCAGGAGGGACUGGCAGGGGAAAAAACUGAGAAGGCGUUAUAUUAUACAUCAAGAUUACGUACACUUGUUCUAGAGUCCAAAAGAAGAUGAGAGUCAGACUAAUUGAGUAUGCCUGGACGAAAACUAAAAUGGGGGUGAAAUGCACCACAGGAAAUGUUGAAGACUGCAAGGUUACCAGGCAGAAAAGGCGCUUAUACUUGGGUUCCUGGCAGGACCCAGAGAGAAUCCUUGCCAAGAGCAAGAUGACAUCAUUCAGAUUAAAUUUAGUGAGCAUACAGAAGUUUCACCAAAAGUCAAUGGCACUGGACGCAUCAUCUUGUUAGUGGAUACAGUGUUUGAAAUGAACCGUACUACUGGACAGUGGACCCAGCUCAAGUAGUACAAAACUAUACCUGAUGUUUCCUAAAAGAUUCAGUAGCAACAAACUGUGGACCAAAUCAAGCAUAGAAUCAGGUAGCACAUAUAGUGUGUCUCAGCUGUUCAAAAUGGCAUUCAUGUGUCAGUUUCUUUACUUUCCAGAACACAAAUUGUGGCUAUCCAAACUAACUGGGUUUAGGUGACUGCAACAAGAAGAUGGUGCCAAACUGACAAAGAUCUUUUUAAAAUAAAAUAAAAUAAAAUAAAAAUAAGGGGAAAAGAGUUAACAUUUGUUCUGUGAUUCAAUAUGCCAGAAAUAAAGACUACAACUGAAAGUUUGCUUCCCAGGUUGGGAGCAGUUUAAUUGCAAGCACCAGGGGAAAAAGGACAAUUAUAGAAUCACAGUUUACCAUUAAACAAAGACAGAUUUUAUUGCAGAAAUAUUUACAUUGACUAUAUGGGUUUAGUUUAAAUAUGGACACUUGCACACUACAAUAUUUGCAGUUAUUCCUGUAAUUUGAUUUCAGUAAAUCUAACUACUGCAGGUGGUAGAUGUCCAGCAUUUAAUAGCAUCCACACUAUAUUUAGCCUGUCCUUGCCAGGGUCACAGGGAGAUCUGAGAAGCUUUGUUAACUCUACUGUACUGGGGGGGG